GAAAAUGGCAUUUUAAAAAAUAUAGAGGUAUAUAUAUAUCUUCAAAUUAUGAAAGAUGUUCAACGAUAAAUAGACUCCAAAUCAACAUUCAAAUUCAAUUAUAAAGAUACAUAUUUAGAGGUUUCAUGCUCCUAAGAAAAAAUAUAAACUACAACACUUUCAAAUAUUAAAAAAGAAAAAAAUAGUGAAAUUUAUGGCAUUUCCUCUAUUUCAUUAUCUUUUUCCUUCUUCAUGUUUGUAGUUGCAU
rnacentral:misc_RNA from 1 species